rnacentral:rRNA from 1 species
AACGAACGCUGGCGGCAGGCUUAACACAUGCAAGUCGAGCGCCCCGCAAGGGGAGCGGCAGACGGGUGAGUAACGCGUGGGAACGUACCCUUUACUACGGAAUAACGCAGGGAAACUUGUGCUAAUACCGUAUGUGCCCUUCGGGGGAAAGAUUUAUCGGUAAGGGAUCGGCCCGCGUUGGAUUAGCUAGUUGGUGGGGU